rnacentral:rRNA from 1 species
CCGAUAGGCGUCGACCGGCGCACGGGUGAGUAACGCGUAUCCAACCUUGCCCACCACUUGGGGAUAACCUUGCGAAAGUAAGACUAAUACCCAAUGAUAUCUCUAGAAGACAUCUGAAAGAGAUUAAAGAUUCAUCGGUGAUGGAUGGGGAUGCGUCUGAUUAGCUUGUUGGCGGGGUAACGGCCCACCAAGGCAACGAUCAGUAGGGGUUCUGAGAGGAAGGUCCCCCACAUUGGAACUGAGACACGGUCCAAACUCCUACGGGAGGCAGCAGUGAGGAAUAUUGGUCAAUGGGCGGAAGCCUGAACCAGCCAAGUAGCGUGCAGGACGACGGCCCUAUGGGUUGUAAACUGCUUUUAUGCGGGGAUAAAGUGGGCCACGCGUGGCCUUUUGCAGGUACCGCAUGAAUAAGGACCGGCUAAUUCCGUG